CAGUCGCCGCGGUAAUACGUAGGGUGCAAGCGUUAAUCGGAAUUACUGGGCGUAAAGCGUGCGCAGGCGGUUCGCUAAGACAGAUGUGAAAUCCCCGGGCUUAACCUGGGAACUGCAUUUGUGACUGGCGGGCUAGAGUAUGGCAGAGGGGGGUAGAACUCCACGUGUAGCAGUGAAAUGCGUAGAGAUGUGGAGGAAUACCGAUGGCGAAGGCAGCCCCCUGGGCCAAUACUGACGCUCAUGCACGAAAGCGUGGGGAGCAAACAGGAUUAGAUACCCCCGUAGUCCCUGUCUCUUAUAA
rnacentral:rRNA from 1 species